GACGAACGCUGGCGGCGUGCUUAACACAUGCAAGUCGAACGGAAAGGCCCUGCUUGCAGGGUACUCGAGUGGCGAACGGGUGAGUAACACGUGGGUGAUCUGCCCUGCACUUCGGGAUAAGCCUUGGAAACUGGGUCUAAUACCGGAUAGGAGCCAUUUUUAGUGUGAUGGUUGGAAAGUUUUUUCGGUGUAGGAUGAGCUCGCGGCCUAUCAGCUUGCUGGUGGGGUAAUGGCCUACCAAGGCGGCGACGGGUAGCCGGCCUGAGAGGGUGGACGGCCACAUUGGGACUGAGAUACGGCCCAGACUCCUACGGGAGGCAGCAGUGGGGAAUAUUGCCCAAUGGGCGCAAGCCUGAUGCAGCGACGCCGCGUGGGGGAUGACGGCCUUCGGGUUGUAAACUCCUUUCGCUAGGGACGAAGCUUUUUGUGACGGUACCUAGAUAAGAAGCACCGGCUAACUACGUG
rnacentral:rRNA from 1 species